rnacentral:rRNA from 1 species
GACGAACGCUGGCGGCGUGCCUAAUACAUGCAAGUCGAACGCAGUGGGGCCGGGUGAGUAACACGUGGGUAACCUCCCAUCAGAGGGGAUAACACUUGGAAACAGGUGCUAAACCGAUACUGAUGGAUGGACCCGCGGUGCAUUAGCUAGUUGGGGAGGUAACGGCUCACCAAGGCCACGAUGCAUAGCUGGCCUGAGAGGGUGAUCAGCCACACUGGGACUGAGACACGGCCCAGACUCCUACGGGAGGCAGCAGUGGGGAAUAUUGGGCAAUGGACGAAAGCCUGACCGAGCAACGCCGCGUGAGUGAAGAAGGUUUUCGGAUCGUAAAGCUCUGUUGUUAGAGAAGCGGUAUCUAACCAGAAAGCAACGGCUAACUACGUGCCAGCAGCCGCGGUAAUUC